rnacentral:lncRNA from 1 species
CGAUAGUUAAGAGGAAGCUCAUCAAUUGCUUAAGAACUAAACCUUCUUAAAAAACGAAACAUGUGAUGCCGUAGACGCCAAAAGGCUUUAUCAGGAACGGUAGAUCCGACCGAACAGAUAGAAAAACUUUUGAAAAAGUGGAUCGUCGUUUGAAAGGGACAGGAACGUUUGCCAAAGCCAAACACAAUUGUGGAAGCCAAAAGAGAAUCGCAAUGCGGUUGCUAAAGAAGAUAUUUUAAAUGCGGUAGAAGCAGAUGUUUCAAUACGUGUCAAGAAAUUAAUUGCCCUGUUUCGUUGUCCAAAAAUAUACAGUUUUUAGGAUCGUUAAGGAACAGCAAUUGUGUCAUUAUCACCUACAAAAGGUGCAUGCACUAUUUCCUGGAAACCUUCCACGAAGGAUGAAAUUUUCAAACCGGCUUUUACUUAUGCACAGAAAAAAUACAAACUUUGUCGGUUCAGUUAUGUUCACGAACGACGCUGGAUUUUCUAAGCAUGGAGCAAUAAAGUCCCAUAACUUGCAUUUAUGGGCAGAAGAAAAUGCGCAUGCUUGUAUUGUGACUCACAAUCAACACCAUUUUCAACCUAUUCAUCUAUGGGCUGGAAUCAUCAGACAUGUCAUAGGACCAUACGUAUUGCCUAACAGGUUGACCGGGGCCCUUUAUUUGGAAUUACUCCAAAACAACUUGGCGAUGUGGUUCAUGCAUGAUGGAGCUCCUUCCCAUUUCAGCCAGGCUGCUCGAGAACACUUAAA